CACGAUAAUGACGAGCAUGCAUGGAAAAAGUGAUCAAUUUUCUGACACAAACUUCCAAGUUACCUAAAACUGUGUCAUCUUUAUUCUCUAUAUAGUCAUCCGUAAUUAUUACAAUUAAUGUCAUAAACUGAUCAAUUUACUCACCUCAUUGUUAAAUUAUUACAUAAAGUGCUUUAAUUAUAAUUAAAUAUAUUUGUAAAAAUUUAUAAAUUGUUUUAAAUAUAUUUAAAUUUUCACGAUAAGACGAUUUAACGAACUGGCCUGGUGGGAAUCGACCUGGUCAAGCUAAUCUUAAGGCUGAUAAAUUUGCUACAACUAUAUUUUUAUAAUUUUAUGUAGGGGCUCCGUUAAAAGCGUAUAAUUAAUCUUAGAUAAUCUUAAUGAAGUUGGAAGAACCCGGCAUUACCGAUCCUUCCAACCAUUGGCGUCUUCUUGACCCUGAAUGAAGUUAGAUCAGUGAUGAGAAGAUAGAUGUGAAAUCUGUCUAACUUUCCUUCCGACUGUAUCUGUCUGGAUUGCCACUUGAACUUGGAUAUCACUUGAACAAUUCGAGAAAGCAAGGAAUUUAAGUCAAAUGAAUUAAAAAAGGGAAAUACGUAACUUUAAAUCGACCAUCACUUGCAAAACGCCAGAUCAAGAUAAAGUUUACUACGAAACCGGUCGCGUUACUUGAUUAAACCGAUUUUUCACACUGUG